rnacentral:rRNA from 1 species
GACGAACCGUGCAAACGUUGUUCGGAAUCACUGGGCUUAAAGGGCGCGUAGGCGGGCUCCCAAGUCGGUGGUGAAAUCUUUCGGCCCAACCGGAAAAGUGCCGCCGAUACUGGGAGUCUCGAGGGAGGUAGGGGUCGAGGGAACUCUAGGUGGAGCGGUGAAAUGCGUAGAUAUCUGGAGGAACGCCGGUGGCGAAAGCGCUCGACUGGACCUCUUCUGACGCUGAGGCGCGAAAGCCAGGGGAGCAAACGGG